rnacentral:rRNA from 1 species
UACGUAGGGUGCAAGCGUUAAUCGGAAUUACUGGGCGUAAAGCGUGCGCAGGCGGUUUUGUAAGACUGUCGUGAAAUCCCCGGGCUUAACCUGGGAAUGGCAUUUGGGACUGCAAGGCUUGAGUGCGGCAGAGGAGACUGGAAUUCCUGGUGUAGCAGUGAAAUGCGUAGAUAUCAGGAGGAACACCGAUGGCGAAGGCAGGUCUCUGGGCUGACACUGACGCUCAUGCACGAAAGCGUGGGGAGCAAACAGG